AUGUGCCUCACCGGGUCUCACUGCCUGCAAAGGUGAUGGAACGCAGCUGAGAGGUCUGACAAGAUGUACCAGGUCCCACUGCCACUGGAUCGGGAUGGGACCCUGGUACGGCUCCGCUUCACCAUGGUGGCCCUGGUCACGGUCUGCUGUCCACUUGUCGCCUUCCUCUUCUGCAUCCUCUGGUCCCUGCUCUUCCACUUCAAGGAGACAACGGCCACACACUGUGGGGUGCCCAAUUACCUGCCCUCGGUGAGCUCAGCCAUCGGCGGGGAGGUGCCCCAGCGCUACGUGUGGCGUUUCUGCAUCGGCCUGCACUCGGCGCCUCGCUUCUUGGUGGCCUUCGCCUACUGGAACCACUACCUCAGCUGCACCUCCCCGUGUUCCUGCUAUCGCCCGCUCUGCCGCCUCAACUUCGGCCUCAAUGUCGUGGAGAACCUCGCGUUGCUAGUGCUCACUUAUGUCUCCUCCUCCGAGGACUUCAGUGGGUGCCUGGAUGAGGGAGGAGUGGGGAAGUGUUCCCUGAGGGGACGGGCCCGCCCCUACCACAUUCGGACCUUCCUACUUCGUGGUGUGGGCACUCCCUGCAAUGUGGCUCCCAAUCCUCUUUCCCUCCAGCCGUCCACGAAAAUGCUUUCAUUGUGUUCAUUGCCUCAUCCCUCGGGCACAUGCUCCUCACCUGCAUUCUCUGGCGGUUGACCAAGAAGCACACAGUAAGUCAGGAGGUACGGUCUAUCCCUAGCGGGGGCUCCAAGGCAGCCCGGAAGAAAAUCAAGGACAUCUGUCCUCA
rnacentral:sRNA from 1 species